GGGGUUGUAGCUCAGUGGGAGAGCCUCUGCUUCUCACGCAAAAGGUCCCAGGUUCAAUCCCUGGCAUCUCCA